rnacentral:lncRNA from 1 species
AGACGGUGAGGGUCUGUCUGAGACUGAGACGCUGAAGAAACCAGCCCCCUCUGGCUCUCCCGGGACACCCUUUGGAUCUGUGUGGAUGUUCCUUCUCAAGGCUCUUCGCCAGCCCUUAGCACACAUUCGAACCCUCGAGACUUCCACCUGCUGUGCUAGGUUCUCGCUGUUUCAGCUCAGAUAAGCCAUGGCUUCCCCCUGAAUUAUGCAGCUAAGCUUUACCCUCGGAGCUGUCUGUUGUAAACUGGAUGUUUUAAAACUGUGACGGAAGUGGGGCUACCAGGGUGUACAGCAACUCAAAAGGAUAUACUUCGGGGCAGAGGCCAAUCUCUUUGGCAUCCUGAAACUCUGCAGCGUUGAGGGCAGAAUAAAAAGAUUCCCCUGCAUUCGAUUGGACGGUUCUUGCAUCCAGCACGAGGCCAGUGCACCUCGGGGUAGUCGGCUCCUCUCAGCUGAUGCACGUGAGCUGGACUCUUUCUCCUUGUAGUGCAUACGUCAUUGGGUGUAUUUCCUGCAGGAAAACUACUGUGUUAAUGGCUAAGGUCUAACUUCUCUUUCAGGAAGGGCUGAUCUAGAGAAAGAAAACAGUAGUGUGACAAGAGAUUAUGUCUGUCAGACCACGAGAGUGUGAGCUGUACCAGAUCAUGCAAAAUGAGGGGAAUAUGUCACACACACACACACACACACACACACACACACACAAAGCCUGGGUGUAAAUAUAACCACUGGGGGAUGGGAAACUAGAGCGAAACAAAAAUUCCAUUUAAGGUUUAGGUAUCUAAUCGUAUUGCUUUGGAAACAUUUGUAAAAAAGGACUAUUUCACUCACUUGCCUUAUUCCUCUUAGUCGUCUAUCAAGACAUUAUUCACCCUAUAUUGGCAGGAAAGGAAACACUGACUGCUGCUCUGUGUGUUAUCAGCCACUCUACAAAGUACCUUUUACCCUGAAAGGACUUAAGAUUUAAGCCGACAACAGUGCCUGUGAAGAAAUGCAUUCUUGGGUUAGUGUGAGGACAAAAGAGGGUUAAUUUUUCAAAUCUCUGUGAAGAGGGGGGGAAAAAAACUGGAAGAUGAAAAUCAAAGACGGAGCUUCUAGUGAUUUAGUUGUAUUUAUGGAUUAUACUGCCUCUUGAAAAGAAGAAAAUCAGAGCUGUAAGAUGACACUGCAGGGGUUGUCUGGACCUUUCACGGAGUCUAAAGUCUGUGGAGUCAAUGCUUAUUAAGGCCUGGUCUUGACCUCUGCUCUGCUGACGCCUCCCUGGUCCAGGUGCAACAUUAUUGCAAGUGCUUUACUGUUAUCAGACACGAUGUGCAAACUUCAAAUCCUGAAUGAACAGAGUCCGCUGAGCAUACACACAAUCCAGCAAUUAUGAUGCCUACAUGUAAAAAUGAGUGAAGACCUGUAAACUUAAUCCACUUCCUUUUAUAAUUAAUAAACAGUGACAAUAGCUCUUCUUCAAGAUACAGCUGCUCAAGUGCAACUUACCUGCAGCUAGCUUUGGCACUUAUGCUGAUAGGAUCAAAUUUGGCAAGAAUAUUUAAAGUAAUGAUUCCUGUCUAAACAAAUUCUAUUUGAAUGAACCAUGGGGGAGUGUAUAUAACAAUUUCUUUAAAAAUCAAAUGUAUACUCUGAGUAAUACAAGAGGUCUCUUAUAGUCUAGGUUUUGUUUUUGUCUUUUUUAAAAAGGAUUGAUUUUACUUUUAAAAAUGGCAUUAACAGAAUAAGACAGGAAAACACAAAAUUCCCCAGAAUUUUAUCCUGAAGUAUAGUAAAGCUUUUUCACUCCAACAGUUCUAUAAAGCGUACUUCCAUAUUUACAUAGGGUUUGAUAAAUAUAAGAGAAAAACAAUUUAUACAUAUCCAUUAAUUGAUCUUUUGAAUAAAAUUGCUAUGUUUAUGCCUCUGAAAUGUUAGCUAACUUGUGUAAAUCAUAUAAAAUGACCCAAAAUUAGCUGCACACACAUAAACAGAGGAGAAAUAAAACUCUCAGGUAUCAGAAUACAUUACAGAGAUUUAGGAUUUUAUUUUAUCUUUCUGUUGAGUGUUUAGCAGACAAUUCUCUAAAUUACAUAAAUUUACUCUUUUUAAAUAUAAAUUUUGAACUUCGAGGAAACAAAUCUCUAACUUAUAAGGAAAGCAAAAGUUUUAAAUUUGCACUAAAGGAGUCAUACAUAAAUACGUCUUUUUUAGCCAGAAUUUUAAAAAGUAGAAAACAUUUCAUUUUAAAUUUAAAAAUAUUUCAGACUUAAAUUUCAAUUUAGAAAACAUUUCAGUUAAAGCAAUGUCAUCUUUCUAUCACCAAGAUUUAUCAUUUUUAACAUUUUUCCCUCUAUUUACUCCAAGCCAUUAAAAAAUAAACAUAUGCAAUUGAAGAUGUCAACUUUCUUGCCAUUUCCGGAGGUCCUUCUGGCAGUAGAAGUAAUCACUAUCUUUUCUAGGUCAUUUUUUCACACCUCCAUUUUUUUAAUCACCUACUUAAGUGUCAAAAGAUAGAAAACAAAAAGGGGCCAAGUAUCAGUUAUAAGUUCCUAGAUUUGCUGUUUUUAAAUUUUCCUUAAAAUUAUUGGAAAAUUUUCAAAAACGCAUUCAUUGGAUGCCAUAUUUACUUAUUUAUUUUUGGUUUAAAAAAACCUAAUGCUGAUAAAAAGAAAAAAAAAGUUAAAAGAUUUCAUCGCCCUCCUCAAUAAACUUCCUUGGUUUCAGAAAACUGAGAAAAUAUGUCUUCUGCUUCUUUUUAUUCAAAUAUGUAGAAUUGAGUCAUUUAAAUCGUAAGCAUUACAUAAGGGAUUGGUGAUAUGGCUAAAACUUUAUACUCUAAUAUGAUCUCCACUGCUCUCAUUUUCACAAAAAUGCAUGUUGUAGGUAGCUUUAUGCAUGAAUAUUAAUUUUCAUGUCUUAUACUCUCAUAGCAUCUUGUAGAGAGAUGCUUAUUUUAAAUGGUUCAAAGGAACACCAAAGUUACCUCUUUUGGGGUUUGCUAGAAAAAUAUCAGCAACAUCAUAAUUAAAGAAAUGAGCACUGACAUUAUGGCGUUCUUUGUCUCUGUCUUCUGGAGGCAGAUUUCCC